rnacentral:lncRNA from 1 species
CUGAGAUUCCCCCCAGAGAGGAGCAAAAGAAGGAGCAGACCCCAUGUUGUGCCCCCAUUUUGGGGCUUUUCCUCAGUACCUGAGACUGGACUGACCUCUGAGGACAGCUGAGGAAUGGGACAAGGUUCUGGGGCUCAGAGUGGAAUAUUCCAGCUGCAACUACGGGAGUCAGUGACGGCGCAGGAGGGUCUUGGGGAGGCGAGUAUUGAGAGCGCCAGCAGUAUUGAGCCCUGACAGAUCAAUAAUCACUCUAAGUGUAAAUGGAUCGAAUUCUCCAAUCAAAAGACACAGAGUAGACCGAUGGGUUAAAAAAACAACAGCUAACAAUAUGCUGCCUGCAGGAAACACAUCUCAGCUCUAAAGACAAACACAGGCUCGGAGUGAAGGGAUGGAACAUGAUACCCCAAGCAGAUGGCAAGCCAAAGACAGCAGGUGUUGCCAUAUUUGCAUCAGAGAAAGCAGACUUCAAGGUGAAAAAGAGAAUGAAAGACAAAGAGGGGCGGUAUAUAAUGAUAAAAGGGACAUUCUGCCGAGAGGAAAUAACACUUAUGAAUAUAUAUGCACCUAACACAGAGCACCAAAGACAAAAUCUUGCCAUUUGUGACAACGUGGGUGGACCUUGAGGGUAUUAUGUUAAGUGAAAUAAGCCAGACACAGAAAGACAAACACUGUAUGAUUUCACUCAUAUAUGGAAGAUAAACAAGCACAUGGACAGGAGAACAGAUCAGUGGUUAGCAGAGGGGAAAGGAGUUGGUGGAGGGAAAAAGGGGUAAAGGGGCACAUAUGUAUAACAAUGGAUACAAACUAGACUGCUGGUGGUGAACAUGGUGAGGUCUACACAGAAACUGAUAAAUACUAAUGCCCACGUUAAAUUUACA